ACCCGCUGAACUUAAGCAUAUCAAUAAGCGGAGGAAAAGAAACUAACAAGGAUUCCCCUAGUAACUGCGAGUGAAGCGGGAAAAGCUCAAAUUUAAAAUCUGGUAGUCUUUGGCUGCCCGAGUUGUAAUCUAGAGAAGCGUUAUCCGCGCUGGACCGUGUGUAAGUCUCCUGGAAUGGAGCGUCAUAGAGGGUGAGAAUCCCGUCUUUAACACGGACUACCAGGGCUUUGUGAUGCGCUCUCAAAGAGUCGAGUUGUUUGGGAAUGCAGCUCUAAAUGGGUGGUAAAUUCCAUCUAAAGCUAAAUAUUGGCGAGAGACCGAUAGCGAACAAGUACCGUGAGGGAAAGAUGAAAAGAACUUUGGAAAGAGAGUUAAACAGUACGUGAAAUUGUUGAAAGGGAAACGCUUGAAGUCAGUCGCGUUGGUCAGGGAUCAACCUUGCUUUUGCUUGGUGUACUUCCUGGUUAACGGGUCAGCAUCAAUUUUGACCAGUGGAAAAAGGUCAGGGGAAUGUGGCAUCUUCGGAUGUGUUAUAGCCUCUGGUCAUAUACAUUGGUUGGGAUUGAGGAACUCAGCACGCCGCAAGGCCGGGGUUUACCCACGUUCGUGCUUAGGAUGCUGGCAUAAUGGCUUUAAUCGACCCGUCUUGAAACACGG
rnacentral:rRNA from 1 species